rnacentral:sRNA from 15 species
GACACUGAUUUUGACAGCCCUCAUACAAAUGUUCAAAGUGAAAUGGUACUUGAAAAUAUAAUUAGAAUUAAUUAAUUACAAGAUUUGGUCGGUGUCUAAAAAGUGGUACAAAUCAAGUUCACUCUUUCUGCAGUUAAACUAUUUGUAUUUAUAUCUGUUAAUAAUAAAGAGUCUCCAAAAUAUUGAAAGGUAAUGCAACUCGUGUUACCGAUAUACACAUACACAUUAGUACAUACAUAUGUGUGUAUAUAUUAAAGUUUGAUAGAAAUUAUUUCAUAAACGAAAAACAAAUUGUGUUUAAAAUGGCGGAAGCAAAUGCUGCUGGAACAAGUGUGGAAGGCGCUGUUGGUUUGCUAGCCCCGCACCCUAAUGCUGAACUAAUAAGGGGUCAAAUUUUUGAAGUGGGUCCCAGAUAUACCAAAUUAGCUUACAUUGGCGAAGGAGCUUACGGCAUGGUGGUAAUCCCAUGACUCUUCAGGGAGCUAACUCCGAAAACAACAAUCUGCCUAUUCCGAGCAUAACCGAAAUUAAGUGGCACAAUCAUACAUAGGGCGUACCGGAAAGUACUAGGGGCUUUCGUCGGUGUUUUCCAAAAAUUAUCGCGGGCGUGAGGUCUUGAGAUGGAAGUCGACCCACACGAUUCUGUAUGAUUCCAUGAUUUCCAGUUGUGCGAAGGUUCUGGAAAUCCCUAUAAUUUUCACCUUACCCCAUUACGUCACCAUGUCACUAGGAAAUUAGAAGUCUACUCCAUAUUCAUGGCUGACAAAAUUCAAUAUAUUUCUCUGUACUUAAUACUAGACAUGUUGCUAUAUAAUCAAAAACGAGCGAACACGAGUUUCACUACCGA